UACGUAGGGUGCGAGCGUUAAUCGGAAUUACUGGGCGUAAAGCGUGCGCAGGCGGUGCGCCAAGCUCGAUGUGAAAGCCCCGGGCUUAACCUGGGAAUUGCAUUGGGGACUGGCGUGCUCGAGUGCGGCAGAGGGGGGUGGAAUUCCACGUGUAGCAGUGAAAUGCGUAGAGAUGUGGAGGAACACCGAUGGCGAAGGCAGCCCCCUGGGCCGACACUGACGCUCAUGCACGAAAGCGUGGGGAGCAAACAGG
rnacentral:rRNA from 1 species